rnacentral:piRNA from 1 species
UAAAUCUAGCCUCAACCCCUUAGAAGAUGG